UACAGAGGUCUCAAGCGUUGUUCGGAAUCACUGGGCGUAAAGGGCGCGUAGGCGGCCUGAUAAGUAGGGGGUGAAAUCCUGCGGCUUAACCGCAGGGCUGCCUUCUAAACUGUCAGGCUGGAGCACAGUAGAGGCAGGUGGAAUUCCCGGUGUAGCGGUGGAAUGCGUAGAGAUCGGGAAGAACAUCAGUGGCGAAGGCGGCCUGCUGGGCUGUUGCUGACGCUGAGGCGCGACAGCGUGGGGAGCAAACAGG
rnacentral:rRNA from 1 species